rnacentral:rRNA from 1 species
GACGAACGCUGGCGGCGUGCUUAACACAUGCAAGUCGAACGGUAAGGCCCUUCGGGGUACACGAGUGGCGAACGGGUGAGUAACACGUGGGUGAUCUGCCCUGCACUUCGGGAUAAGCCUGGGAAACUGGGUCUAAUACCGGAUAGGACCACUGCCUGCAUGGGUGGUGGUGGAAAGCUUUUGCGGUGUGGGAUGGGCCCGCGGCCUAUCAGCUUGUUGGUGGGGUGAUGGCCUACCAAGGCGACGACGGGUAGCCGGCCUGAGAGGGCGACCGGCCAAACUGGGACUGAUGUACGGCCCAGACUCCUACGGGAGGCAGCAGUGGGGAAUAUUGCACAAUGGGCGCAAGCCUGAUGCAGCGACGCCGCGUGAGGGAUGACGGCCUUCGGGUUGUAAACCUCUUUCAGCACCGACGAAGCGCAAGUGACGGUAGGUGCAGAAGAAGGACCGGCCAACUACGUGCCAGCCGCCGCAGUAA